UAGGGAAUCUUCGGCAAUGGACGAAAGUCUGACCGAGCAACGCCGCGUGAGUGAAGAAGGUUUUCGGAUCGUAAAACUCUGUUGUUAGAGAAGAACAAGGACGUUAGUAACUGAACGUCCCCUGACGGUAUCUAACCAGAAAGCCACGGCUAACUACGUGCCAGCAGCCGCGGUAAUACGUAGGUGGCAAGCGUUGUCCGGAUUUAUUGGGCGUAAAGCGAGCGCAGGCGGUUUCUUAAGUCUGAUGUGAAAGCCCCCGGCUCAACCGGGGAGGGUCAUUGGAAACUGGGAGACUUGAGUGCAGAAGAGGAGAAUGGCAUUCCAUGUGUAGCGGUGAAAUGCGUAGAUAUAUGGAGGAACACCAGUGGCGAAGGCGGCUCUCUGGUCUGUAACUGACGCUGAGGCUCGAAAGCGUGGGGAGCAAACAGG
rnacentral:rRNA from 1 species